rnacentral:rRNA from 1 species
AGUCAAGUAAUUAAGUGCAUGUGGUGGAUGCCUUGGCAGUCAGAGGCGAUGAAAGACGUGAUAGCCUGCGAAAAGCUCCGGGGAGGCGGCAAAUAUCCUUUGAUCCGGAGAUGUCUGAAUGGGGGAACCCACCUACUUUAAGGUAGGUAUUGCAACAUGAAUACAUAGUGUUGCAAGGCGAACGAGGGGAAGUGAAACAUCUCAGUACCCUUAGGAAAAGAAAUCAAUUGAGAUUCCCUCAGUAGCGGCGAGCGAACGGGGAUCAGCCCAUUAAGUUAUGUGUGUUUUAGUGGAACGCUCUGGGAAGUGCGAACGUAGAGGGUGAUAUUCCCGUACACGAAAGGGCACACAUAAUGAUGACGAGUAGGGCGAGGCACGUGAAACCUUGUCUGAAUAUGGGGGGACCAUCCUCCAAGGCUAAAUACUCCUGACUGACCGAUAGUGAACCAGUACCGUGAGGGAAAGGCGAAAAGAACCCCUGUGAGGGGAGUGAAAUAGAUCCUGAAACCGCAUGCAUACAAGCAGUGGGAGCACCUUCGUGGUGUGACUGCGUACCUUUUGUAUAAUGGGUCAGCGACUUAUAUUCAGUAGCGAGGUUAACCGUAUAGGGGAGCCGUAGAGAAAUCGAGUCUUAAUAGGGCGUUUAGUUGCUGGGUAUAGACCCGAAACCAGGCGAUCUAUCCAUGAGCAGGUUGAAGGUUGGGUAACACUAACUGGAGGACCGAACCCACUGUCGUUGAAAAGCCAGGGGAUGACUUGUGGAUAGGGGUGAAAGGCUAAUCAAGCCUGGUGAUAGCUGGUUCUCCCCGAAAGCUAUUUAGGUAGCGCCUCGGACGAAUACCAUAGGGGGUAGAGCACUGUUUCGGCUAGGGGGUCAUCCCGACUUACCAAACCGAUGCAAACUCCGAAUACCUAUGAGUACUAUCCGGGAGACAGACUGCGGGUGCUAACGUCCGUAGUCAAGAGGAAAACAAUCCAGACCGCCAGCUAAGGCCCCAAAAUCAUAGUUAAGUGGGAAACGAUGUGGGAAGGCAUAGACAGCUAGGAGGUUGGCUUAGAAGCAGCCACCCUUUAAAGAAAGCGUAAUAGCUCACUAGUCGAGUCGGCCUGCGCGGAAGAUGUAACGGGGCUAAAACUAUGUGCCGAAGCUGCGGAUGUAUACUUUGUAUACGUGGUAGGGGAGCGUUCUGUAAGCCGAUGAAGGUGUGUUGAGAAGCAUGCUGGAGGUAUCAGAAGUGCGAAUGCUGACGUGAGUAACGACAAAACGGGUGAAAAACCCGUUCGCCGAAAGACCAAGGGUUCCAGUCCAACGUUAAUCGGGGCUGGGUGAGUCGACCCCUAAGGCGAGGCCGAAAGGCGUAGUCGAUGGGAAAAUGGUUAAUAUUCCAUUACUUCUGUGUAAUGCGAUGAGAGGACGGAGAAGGCUAAAUCAGCCUGGCGUUGGUUGUCCAGGUGAAAGGAUGUAGGCAUGUAUCUUAGGCAAAUCCGGGG